rnacentral:rRNA from 4 species
GUCUAAACGACUCUCGGCAACGGAUAUCUCGGCUCUCGCAUCGAUGAAGAACGUAGCGAAAUGCGAUACUUGGUGUGAAUUGCAGAAUCCCGUGAACCAUCGAGUCUUUGAACGCAAGUUGCGCCCGAAGCCUCUCGGCUGAGGGCACGUCUGCCUGGGCGUCA